UUCGUUUGGAUAAUUUUGAGAGAUUUUGUCACUGUUAGAAAUCGACUGGAUCAAGACUUCAUCUGAAAAUAGUAAGUUAAUUUUCUUAUACUGAUUUAGUUUGAAGAUCUAUGUGUUUGCAGUGAUGGACAAAUAUAACGUUUUAACAAAUGGUACUUUUUGAAAAUCGUUCUUUCUUCAAACACGGUCAAAUAAAUAACAAUUUUACAUUGAAAGUUUCCUGCCUUCUAAAAACGGAAGCAGUUGUUUUUGUAUGCAACGUCAUUCAAAGACUGACGUCAUUCAAAAAUUAUAAACGUGUUAUACUCUCACCCCAGAGUCGUCUCUAUUAAGUCGUGUCACUUGGGAUUUCACCUCUUUUUAAAGUAAUACACCACCUACCGUUUGUUUACGUUCUAAGUCUCACAGUAAGAUGUGUAGACAAUCAAAUAGCUAAGAAAAUGUUUGAAGAUUGAAAAAACUUAGCUUCCAUUUCCAUGGGUUGAACCUAGAGUCUGCGACUUUAAAAGAUGGAUGUUACUGUGAGCUUUUCAUCAACGAAGACAGUAACAGUUUUUCGAGUAGCACUAAAAUCUGGAAUUCUAAAAACAUCUGGAGACACUAUUGUAACUUUAUCCAAAUGUGUUAAAGGUUUGUAGAUUGACAAAACUUAGCUUCCAUUUCCAUGGGUUGAACCUAGUCUACAACUGUAAAAGAUGGAUGUUACUGCGAGCUUUUCAUCAAAGAAGACGGCAACAGUUUUUCAAGUAGCACUAAAAUCUGGAAUUCUAAAAACAUCUGGAGACCUUUCAUCUCCGAUUCUGUGAAAAGAAACUCAUGGGAUUCACAAUUCAGUCAAAAUAUUAAAAAAAACCAUCACCCAGACAGGAUGGAUGAACAGACAUGGGAGAAAUGUAAGGAGGGUGGUGGUUUCAGGGGAUGAACCUUCCUUUGCUCAAAGCAAAUUUUCUUUUUUUAAUCUAUUUUCCAGGGAAGCACGACUCGAGCCACCCUAAAAACUUCACUUGCCAGUCUAGACCCCUGCAUAAUUUCCAGCACACACACCUGGAAAGACUUAAUAAGCUAUCAGAUUUCUCAUCAAGUCCUAAUGACAUAAAACAAGUAUUGUUUAAGACAUUAAAAACUCUUGACAUUUUUUUUCUUGAAACAAUGUGCAUUACCUGUGACCUUUUCAGGACAAGAAUAGUUUUCAGUCUGUGUAAAAACUGGCAGUUUUGAUUUUUAAAAAUGGUGGAUUCUUCUAACCUCCUGUGUUUACAAUUAAACACUGAAACAUCAUUUUUAACAUGAUCAUAUAAAACAAAAACAUUUACAACAAAAAUAAAACACGUCUCCUACACCAUAUUGGAUAUUUACUAGACUAAUUAUAUUGCAUGCAUCUCUUCAUUGGCCUGUUAAAAAUACUGGCUUUAUAUGUCCAAUCCAGCAAGAAAUUAAAAUAGAAUCCUUGCAAUGAUACUCAUACACUUAUACAAUUAUAGUUCUGAAUAACCAACAGCACAUCACAUUGUUUAGUCUUUAAUGUGAUGAUGAUUCAAUGUACUAAAGUUCAUGUGCCAUAUCACCAUGGUGUUUCACAGGUGUGUUCAUUCUAUCUUCUUACAUAUUAACAAGAAUUAUCGGAGGGUACACUGAUAUAAAAAUUCUCCAUAAAAAUAAUAAUUUCAUCAACGGUAAUACAAAAGAAAUAAAAUAAAACUCCCUGUGCAAGAUGGA